rnacentral:tRNA from 1 species
GCAUCCUUGGUCUAACGGAUAUGACCCCGGUCUUCCAAACCGGCGGCGCCGGUUCAACUCCGGCAGGAUGCU